rnacentral:rRNA from 1 species
UUCGCAAUGCCCGAAAGGGUGACGAAGCGACGCCGCGUGUGGGAAGAAGGCCUUCGGGUUGUAAACCACUGUUGGGAGUUAGGAAGUGUGGAGGUGUUAAUAGCGCUUUCACUUGACUAAAGCUCCAGAGGAAGCCACGGCUAACUCUGUGCCAGCAGCCGCGGUAAUACAGAGGCGGCAAGCGUUGUUCGGAAUUAUUGGGCGUAAAGAGCACGUAGGCGGCUCUGUAAGUCAGCUGUGAAAGCCUUCUGCUUAACGGAAGAACGGCAGUUGAAACUACAGGGCUUGAGUGCGGGAGGGGAGAGUGGAACUUCUGGUGGAGCGGUGAAAUGCGUAGAUAUCAGAAGGAACGCCGGCGGCGAAAGCGGCUCUCUGGUCCGUAACUGACGCUGAGUGUGCGAAAGCUAGGGGAGCAAACGGGAUUAGAUACCCCGGUAGUCCUAGCCGUAAACGAUGGGCACUAAGUAGAG